GGAAAGAAACCAACAGGGAUUGCCUCAGUAACGGCGAGUGAAGCGGCAACAGCUCAAAUUUGAAAUCUGGCCUUUGGUCCGAGUUGUAAUUUGUAGAGGAUGCUUUUGGUGCGGUGCCUUCCGAGUUCCCUGGAACGGGACGCCUUAGAGGGUGAGAGCCCCGUACGGUUGGACGCCUAGCCUCUGUAAAGCUCCUUCGACGAGUCGAGUAGUUUGGGAAUGCUGCUCAAAAUGGGAGGUAAAUUUCUUCUAAAGCUAAAUACCGGCCAGAGACCGAUAGCGCACAAGUAGAGUGAUCGAAAGAUGAAAAGCACUUUGAAAAGAGGGUUAAAUAGCACGUGAAAUUGUUGAAAGGGAAGCGUUUAUGACCAGACUUUUUCUAGGCGGAUCAUCCGGUGUUCUCACCGGUGCACUUCGCCUAGUUUAGGCCAGCAUCGGUUUUCGUAGGGGGAUAAAAGCUUUGGGAACGUGGCUCUUCGGAGUGUUAUAGCCCAUUGUAUAAUACCUUUAUGGGGACCGAGGUACGCGCAUUGCAAGGAUGCUGGCGUAAUGGUUAUCAAUCACCCGUCUUGAAACACGGACCAAGGAGUCGAACAUUUGUGCGAGUGUUUGGGUGUUAAACCCUCACGCGUAAUGAAAGUGAACGGAGGUGAGAGCCAUUUGGUGCAUCAUCGACCGAUCCUGAUGUCUUCGGAUGGAUUUGAGUAAGAGCAUAACUGUUCGGACCCGAAAGAUGGUGAACUAUGCGUGGAUAGGGUGAAGCCAGAGGAAACUCUGGUGGAGGCUCGCAGCGGUUCUGACGUGCAAAUCGAUCGUCAAAUCUGCGCAUGGGGGCGAAAGACUAAUCGAAC
rnacentral:rRNA from 1 species